UGUCUAAGCUUGUGUUGUUCAAUCAUCAGUAGAUUGAACGUUGCCUGGACACUAUUGUGUUUUCGAGGCUUUGCCUGUGCCUAGAAAUGGAAUUUUCAUUUGACUAUUCCAUUUUUUUGAGGCUGUAGGCGUCCUGGCACAUAGCAAUAUGUGUUUCGAGGAGAAAUUUAAUGGUGCCUGCACAUUUGUGUUCGAGGCUUAAAAAUGUAACAUGAAAUUAUAACCUAGUUUACGUAACUAAACAAUUAAAAAGAAUGAAAAGUAAUUCGAAAUGCAAGUCUUCUAUAAAAAAAUACUCAACAAAACAGCCCAAUUGGACGACAUAAGAAAACUAUUUUGUGGUCGUAACAUUGAUAGCACUUUCAAUCAGAUCGAGCGUUGUAGUGACAUUAUGAAUAUUGCCGGGAUGAUCUGCAUGCGGAAGUCCUUGAACAACGUUCAUGAUGCGUAACAUUUUAUCUUUAACAUUUUUUUGUACCUUAUAGUUCAAUGAGUUCACAUUGUUUAUAUAGUUUCUUGACUUGUAAAAAGCCAAUGGUUAAACUUCGAAUAACUUGAAAAAAAAAUUUA